rnacentral:rRNA from 1 species
GGGAGCCUUACACAUGCAAGUCGAACGGCAGCACGGACUUCGGUCUGGUGGCGAGUGGCGAACGGGUGAGUAAUGUAUCGGAACGUGCCCAGUAGCGGGGGAUAACUACGCGAAAGCGUAGCUAAUACCGCAUACGCCCUACGGGGGAAAGCAGGGGAUCUUCGGACCUUGCACUAUUGGAGCGGCCGAUAUCGGAUUAGCUAGUUGGUGGGGUAACGGCCUACCAAGGCGACGAUCCGUAGCUGGUUUGAGAGGACGACCAGCCACACUGGGACUGAGACACGGCCCAGACUCCUACGGGAGGCAGCAGUGGGGAAUUUUGGACAAUGGGGGAAACCCUGAUCCAGCCAUCCCGCGUGUGCGAUGAAGGCCUUCGGGUUGUAAAGCACUUUUGGCAGGAAAGAAACGUCGCGGGCUAAUACCUCGCGAAACUGACGGUACCUGCAGAAUAAGCACCGGCUAACUACGUGCCAGCA